UCCAAGCAAGGAAGAUCUUCGCAAUUUGCCGAAUCCCAAAAUGACACAACCAAAUAAUUGUUUGGCCAAAUGGCAUAAGCUCCUUUAUCUGGAUACACAACAGAACCAACCAAGUAGCCACCAUAAUCUGGUAUACCAAAGUUACCUAUUGCACUGUCAUGUUUUGACAUCAAACUCAGAGGAGAAAGCACUCUUAUGUUACUCUUCUCUACCACAAAAUGACCAAACACACAACUCUUCCCUAUAAAUGUUAUUACAAGAAACAAAGACACGAGUUUCUUCAGAGAAGCAGUCAUGCAAGUGAUCAUCGCCAUGAUGAUCAAGAAAGAAUAUUCAUACAAGACUAGCUACAAAGCUGGUUUGGUUUAUGAUCAAUCCUUGUUGAGAAUAAGAAAGAAUCAGAGAGAAAAGAAAGAAAGAAAGAGGGAGAGGUAGACAAGGGAAACGGGGAGGACGUGUGGUGUGAGCAAGAGUGGACUUUGCAACGGUCUACAGUUGGAGGGAUUCCAAGUUAAGUUUUUUGGAGUUUGGUGUAAGAAUCUUUUCGCUUACUAGUUUAAAUAACAAAGGUGUAUUUUAGAGAGGAAGAGAUUUAUUGGAAAAUUGAAGGGUACGUUUACUUUAACUUGGAGUCGUCGUAUACCCCAUGACAAUGAAAAUAACUCUUAACGUAAAGGGUACAACAUGAGAGUGGAAGGAAGGAAGGAGGGAGGGGAGGGGGAAUUCGAGGAGUAUAGAUAGAUGGGGCUGGGAGCUGACAGAGGCAGCAAGACCUACCUUCUUUUUAUAUUGCGUGCAACUACUUGGAAGUGAGAGCGACUGGAGACAGAGAAAGACAUGUUGAAUAUCAUUUGAAAACCAAUUAUUGUUGUUGCAGUUGUAUUUUAUUUUUCAAGUUGUUGGAUUGAUUUCUUCAAUUUUAAGGUAAAGUGGGAUUUUUUCAGCAAUUUAUUCUUAAUUAAUUAUUAGGUACCAGAAAUUUGCAACUGCUAUUAAUUUAGGGGUUCUAUAAAGGCAGCGAGAGAGUAGAGGAGGCUUUAUAUCGAGAGAGUAGAGGAGGCUUUAUAUAUAUAUAUAUAUGAGGUUAAUAAUACCUUUCUAUUUGUUGGAGGGAUAAUAAAAUUCCCACAUGAAAUGGAUUCGCAUGCAUAUAUUAAAAAAUAAAAUAUAGUUCUCCUAUAAUCCAAUUGUUACAUCAAGACAAAAAAAGUGAAACUUCAUCAUUAGAUAAUAACGUACAUUUAAUGUGAUUAAUAUUUAAACACCCGACAUUUGCAUGAAGAAUAAAGGAACUGUGUUCCAAAAGAAAAAUGUGCAACUUUAAAUAAAUUAAAAGUUGAAUUUUGCUAAAUGAUGAUAUUUUAUAUCCUAUUUGAUGUAAUUCUAGAAUCCAACAUGCUCGAAAAUAGAGUUAUUAAAUGUUAAGUGUUUAUUUAGAUAAUAAGUAAUCAUAUGUUCAAAACAAUAUAUAAUUCAUUAUUUAAAAUUAAUGGAGCAGAUAGUUGGUGAUAGAAAUGUGAUUCUUGUGAAAUAAUUAUUUUUUUAUGGGGUUUAGUAAUCUUUAAUGAUUAAGUUAAUGAUUUUUUAAUAAAAAAUUAUAAUAAAUAAGAUAAUAAACAUUAGAUUUUAGGGACCAUAAUUAAUGUUUGUUAUUAGUUUUUAUAUGAUAAAUACUUUGAGAAUGUAUGAUAAAAGAAUAUAAAUAUGAAUAUUUUACUUGGAUGAUCGGAGAAUAUUUAUAAUUCUAAACUUUAUCGUUUUAUAUAUUGAAAGGAUAGAGAGUUAUUUAAUUUUAAAAAUUUUGAUGAGAAAAAAUAUUAUACAAUAUUAAUAUUGAUUAGUAAGGGAAUAAUAGUAUUUUAAUUUUAAAGGUGUUUUUUAUUUUGUGCUGUUUCAUCCAAAAGUCAUGGUUUUUAAAUAGUUUAUUGCACUUCUUACAAUAAUAAUAAUAAUAAUAAUAAUAAUAAUAAUAAUAAAAUACUUUGUCACUCAAUACUAUAAAUAUACGUCUUUGGUUGUUCUUUUUUGUUUUUUCUCUUUUACACAAAAUUCAACUAAUUCCUUAAAGAUUAUUUGUUUUGCUAUCUGAACUCUUUAAGACCUUUCUAUAUAUGAUCUCGGAGGUGUAUUUGUCUUAAUCCAAUAACCACUUUGGUAGAUGGAGAAAUAAUAUUUUAAAUAUAAUGUUAUAUAUUUACAUAUAUAUUAACAAUCUUUGAAUUAUUAUUUUAAAUUUUUAUCACGUGACUGGAGAAGGGGAAAUUUAGUUUUUUUAAUCUUUGAAUUAUUAUUAUUAUUUUCAAUGAAGUCAACACGUGGCACGCAAGGUUGGUUGGCUCAAAAUUAGACAAAAACAAUGAAUAAAAAAAUUGGUUUAUUAGUAUAAUUAUUGUUUAUUAUUAACGACGUUAUUAAUAUAAAGCUUACGUUAAACAAAUUAUUAGUGUAGAGGACUCAAUCCACCUUCAAAUUAAAGGCAAAGUUUUCUAAAUUAAGUUUGAGGGAUUUCUCGGUUUGCAUUAAAAGUUUUAGACAUCAUUUAUCUUCUUGAAAGAAGCCUUCUAAUGAAAAUAUCCACAUAAGACUACCAUAAUACAAAAUAUAAUCAAACUUAAUUAAACACUCUUCCCUGUUUACUAAUCAGAAGCUAAGAAAUCAACCAAAAUAUAAAUUUAUUAAAGAGCACUGUACCCAUACAAACAAAUCAGUUUCUCUAAAUAUGAGAGAAUAUAUGCUCAAAAUAAAUUAAAGAAACGUCAAAAUAAAUAAGACAUUUUUUUGGUAGUGAUUGUAAAUAAGCAUUUUUUUCUCUUUUGGGUUGGAAAAUGCAUGUUCAUUAUCAGAAAAUUAAAAAGAAAAAACAAUGAAAACACUGGUGGAAAAUAUUUUAUUGAUUGAUGGAAAUUAUUUUAGUAACAUUAUAAAACAAUAAUUAAUUGAUGUGAGAUAUUAUAAAUUACUUACACAUGAAGAUCCCUUAUCUACAAUUUUCACUUGCAAUUACUAAUGUUAGUUUCCUUAUCAAUAAUAAUUAGGGUAUUAUUUAUUCAUGAUAGUAUAAUUUGAAAAUUAAACUUUAAUGAACAAGUCCUUUAUAUGCAUGUAUGGUUAAAAAUAGGUUUCUCUUUGUUAACUUCCAAACUUUAAAGGAUUAGUUAAAAUCUACAUAAACUAAUAUGAGCAAUCAUAAUUAUAUAUAUAUAUAUAAAAAAGAAGGUUCCUCUUCUAUAAUUUACUCAAGACCACGCCUUCAUACUCUUUUGAAUAUGCACGUAUCGUUUUUUAUCCUUCCUUUUCUUAAACAUUCAAUCAAUGAGACAUUUAAUCAAUGAGAAAAUGACGAACCUGCCAUUUUCUCCCUUCCUUAUUAUUCAAGAUUCUUCCAUUCAAAUUGACUAUACAGCAAAAAAUGACAAAGUGACACUCAACUAGUCAAAUGAAUUGGAAGAAAGGAGUGGCGGAGAAGCUGCCACGCUCAAUCUUCUUCUUCUUCUUCUAUACAUGUGUGUGUGUAUCAAUGGGAACUUAGCCUGAAUUAGCUAUAGCCUAUAUGUGUAUCAGGGAAAUGCUUUAUCUAUUAAUGUUCCUUUCAUACUAAUAUCCCAAUACGUGAUAGCUUAUUGUUAUAUAAUUUAGAUUUUGCGGAAUAUAUAUGUUAUAGAUUUCUUCAACUGAUCAGAUAUAUGUCCAUUUCCAUCAUCGAGAUCAGACUCACUGGGCUUCGAGCUGAAUAAACAGGCAGUUAAUUCUCGAUUAUAUUAUAACCAAAUAAGCUAAAAUAAUCAGAAUUCAGAAUUGAUGUUUCAUUGAAGCAAGUUAUGGAUACACAACCGUUAAGCCAUGAUACUUCUAUGAAUUAUAUAUUUACCAGUUCUUCUUUAAGCUUUCGAAACCAUAUAAAACGCCUUGUCAAUGCUUAAUUAAGUCGAGAAUCUCAAGGAUUGUGAUGGGUAAUUUGAGAAAGCCUGGAUGCAGAUAAACAUUAUCUGUACAGUUUCGUAUAUACACUGGCGGGCGGCAGUCUGCAAAAAGGGACGCAUAGGAGGCUCGACCUCGAUGUGGAUGGCAGUGCCGGAUAUGUUCCAAAAAGGGACCCAUUUUCUGUAUUUCUCCUUCUGAAGUCCUUUUCUCAGACAGUCAAUGCAGGGAAGAAAAACAAGAAGAACGAAGAAGGAAGGAUUGAGGUAAUAGCUAGGCAAGUUGCAAUUAUUUUCAAGUUAAAUGUGCACUUGUCUCGAACAGCGAUGCCAUGUAUACUUGCCCAUUAACGUCACUCCACAAGAUAUUUAUUACAAAAAAACUAAUUUGUAUGGGAAAACAUUGUGACGCGUUGCACCGAGUACACAUUUAUAGUUCUGAACUUUUUCUUGUUUGAAUUUUUGCAUGUGCUGUUUAUCCUGUGAGUUGUCGUUGAACGUGUUUGAAAAUUGAUCCCUGGGAAACGCAGUGCGGUGAUAAAGAAUUUGAGAUCUGUAUAGCAGGUUUAGAGUUUAAGUCAAGACGUGUAUUUUUUAUAAAAAUCUGAAACAGUCAGAAUUUUAUUUACUCAUCUGAACUUACAAAAUACACUUUUCAGGGAUGGGGUUUUAUCUAAUAAAAAAAAUAUAUUUGAAAAUUGUUUGUAUUUGUGACAUUAAGACGGGGAGGAGUGUUCACAUAGUCUUUGUUGUUGUUUAUUUUUGUCCUUUUAAUUUUAGAUUUUGGAUGAAAAAUUUAUUCUUUACAUUUUAGUUCUUAAACAUGAGAGAUAACAUGAGAGAUAAGAGGGGAGGAGGUUAAAAAAUGAAAGAUGAAUGAGAAAAUAAUUGGUUAAUUACAUUUCAAUAAUUAAAAAAAUUAAUUUUGAUGUAAUUAAGUUUUAUUUGAUAAUAGAAAUAUUGUUGAGAUGUUUUUUUUAUCCACACCGGAAAAACUAGAUCGGAGCUUUGAAAUUUUUUUUAUUCAAAAUAAUUAUUUUUUAUUUCUUGACUGAUUAAAAAUUGGUUGGUUUGAGGUUAUAUAUAUAUAUAUAUAUAUUUUGAGGUUUAUAAGAUAUUUUUUUUAUAUAUUUUUAAGGUAAAAAAAGUUUAAAAUAAAUUUAAUUUUUUUGUUCCAUUUUUUUGAUCCCAAGAUGUUAUAACCUAACUCAGGUUGUCAGAAUCUUAUCAAUAAACAACAUGCAUUUGAUUUUUUUAAUUAAAAAAACAAAGGGUUAUCCACCCAUUUUAAACAAAAGAAAAGGGUUGGCCAGACGUUUGCAUGCUUUUAGUAUUUUUUUAAUAUAUUCGUGUUAAAAUUAUCAAAACAUAGUUUUUUUUUAAUUAAAACUUGCUUUUAUAAUCUUGAUAAGUUAUUGUUUUAAAAAAAUAGAAUUUUUGGUACAAAAAAAAAACUAGAAAAAAAGGAAGCAUAUUGAUAAAAUAAAAGGGUUUUAAUUAGAGACAUACUCUCUUUUUUAUUCCAAAUCGUCCAGUUUUUUUAAUUGUUUAUGUUUUUUAUCAAAUAAAAAACAUAGCACAAAAAAGCUAUUUUUUGGUAGAGAAAAAUCGUUUAAUAAAAAGGGAGGAGUUAUACUAGAAAGUAAUUUAAAUUAUUACUUUUCUUACAAAUAAUUUUUUUAUUGACAUAUAAUUAAAUUAAAAAAAAAUCUAAACAGUUCCUUGCUUAACGACAUCAAAUAUUAUAUUCUCAUGUUAUCUCUCACCUUUUUAUUUAGCAUAUAGUUAGGCUAACAGUUAUUUUAAACAUUUAUUAGUAACAUGACAAUAUUUCUCAUUGUUAUUUUUUUUUUAAUGUUAGAAAAGGCGUUAACCAACGUAUGUACAUGCCAGCCUGUCGCUGUGCAUGCCAGCCUCGUGCACUUUAUUUUAUCUUAUAUUUACUGGUCUAAAUACAAAACAGUUACAGUUGGGCGGUUAGGUCGUUGUCUGAAUUUAUUAAAAUACUAUAAAAAAACUUUAUAUAAACAAAAAGAUUACGCGUGGUAUUAAAUUCGAUAAGCCCGUUUUAUUUAACUAGGUUAAAACAGUGGCCACGUCACGCCUUGCCUGGUCAAUUAUGCCAACAGUUGACCUUGAUGAAUUUGAUCUGGUAGAAAUUCCUAAGUACUUUAUUUAUUUAUUUUUACGAAAAAUGGAUCAAGGAGAGAGCCGAAAGAGAGGAGAUCCAAUUAUGGUGUUAAGUGUCCGUUUCUUUCACUCCUACAAAGGGAGAAAUGAAUAGUCCUAUUUCCGUCUUCAUGCAAUCAAGAGCUAUGAGAUUAGACUAGAAUGAGCUGCGAAAAAUUAAAAUAAUAUUUUAUAAAAAAUUUAUUUUUAAUAUAAUAUAUUAAAACGAUAUAAAAAUAUCAUAAGAAUAAUUUAAAAUAAAAAAAUAUAUUUUUGUUCAAAUCAAGCUGAAGAAUUCAACGUGCUGCGGAAAGUUGCUGAAAUACAGCCAGUGCCCCAAAGCUAAUUUCCAAAAGUAUGGACCAAGAAGUGGCCAAUUCUCCUCCAAGAGAACACAUCAGGAGGAUGUGUGUGCAAAUCUCGAGAGUUGAAACUUAGCAGGUAAAACUCGAUUAUCAUAAAUGUAAAAUCUAACUCGGAUUGAAUUAGUAAAAAAAAUUAAUUAAAAUAAUAUUUUUUUAAUUUUUUUUAAAAUAAAAUAAAAAAUUAACCAGAUUAACCUUCUAAACAUUACUCAGACCUUCAGUAAACAAGGAAUCAGAAAUUAAAUGCUACAACAGCGAUGGAGAAUUCAAUAGUGGAAGGGCUCUACUAGACCUUUCAUUCCAGUGUUCCAUGCAUGGCAUGAAAGCAUUCACAAAGACAGUCGAUGCUGAUAACCACCAUUGUAGUUAGAAAUCGUAUUUGACUUGUUUGCAGCGUACUACACUAGUAAUACGAAUAAAACUGUAUUGAAGGUGUUUGUUAUAAAUCUCAAGAGAAAAAGUGAGCAGCGAAGAAGAGGAGGAGGAAGAAAAUGAAGAGAGAGAAACCAGGCAAGAAUUAAGAGAAUAUUUUCGUUCAUCCUUCACACAGGACACCUGACUUGCCUGUUUCAUUGCUGUCAGACCUGCCCGUGUACAGUGAUCCUUGCUUUGAGAAUGGGGUUAGCUGAGAAUUGGCUUCGUUUGAGAGUGUAAAAAGAUUUUUUUUUAAAAUAUAUCUUUUUUUUUAAGAUUUAUUUUUAAUCUCUACACAUAAAAACAAUUUAAAAACUCUAAAAAAAUUCAAAAAAAAAUUCAAUUUUUUUAAAAAACAUAAUUGAUUCAAAGUGCCAAAGAAAACCUUAAAGCCCUCCUCCCACUAAAAAAAAAAAAAAUAGUGUUUAAUAUUAUUAAAGCAGUUAUUUUUUAUAAUAUCAAUAUAAUAUUUUUUUUUAUUUUUUUAAAUUUAUUUUUAACAUUAAUAUAUUAAAAUAAUAUAAUUUUUUUUAAAAAAAAUACGUGCUGUUACUAGAACAAACACACAAUAAGACUCAUCAGCUAGAAUUGCCCAUCUGCAAUGGUCCUUGCCUUCGUUUGUGAUUGCAGAGACCAUUUUAGGAUGGUUCGGGCAAUUGAAACCCCAUCCCUGGUGGAAACUUAGAAUAUCUCAUCGAAACUGUAAUUGAGCAUGAGCACAAAACUUUUAAGCAAGGUUUUUGACUUGGAAGAGCUAAACAAGAGAACAUGCUGAAUACAUAGCUCCAAGCAAGGAAGAUCUUCGCAAUUUGCCGAAUCCCAAAAUGACACAACCAAAUAAUUGUUUGGCCAAAUGGCAAAGAGCUCCUUUAUCUGGAUACACAACAGAACCAACCAAGUAGCCACCAUAAUCUGGUAUACCAAAGUUACCUAUUGCACUGUCAUGUUUUGACAUCAAACUCAGAGGAGAAAGCACUCUUAUGUUACUCUUCUCUACCACAAAAUGACCAAACACACAACUCUUCCCUAUAAAUGUUAUUACAAGAAACAAAGACACGAGUUUCUUCAGAGAAGCAGUCAUGCAAGUGAUCAUCGCCAUGAUGAUCAAGAAAGAAUAUUCAUACAAGACUAGCUACAAAGCUGGUUUGGUUUAUGAUCAAUCCUUGUUGAGAAUAAGAAAGAAUCAGAGAGAAAAGAAAGAAAGAAAGAGGGAGAGGUAGACAAGGGAAACGGGGAGGACGUGUGGUGUGAGCAAGAGUGGACUUUGCAACGGUCUACAGUUGGAGGGAUUCCAAGUUAAGUUUUUUGGAGUUUGGUGUAAGAAUCUUUUCGCUUACUAGUUUAAAUAACAAAGGUGUAUUUUAGAGAGGAAGAGAUUUAUUGGAAAAUUGAAGGGUACGUUUACUUUAACUUGGAGUCGUCGUAUACCCCAUGAAAAUGAAAAUAACUCUUAACGUAAAGGGUACAACAUGAGAGUGGAAGGAAGGAAGGAAGGAGGGAGGGGAGGGGGAAUUCGAGGAGUAUAGAUAGAUGGGGCUGGGAGCUGACAGAGGCAGCAAGACCUACCUUCUUUUUAUAUUGCGUGCAACUACUUGGAAGUGAGAGCGACUGGAGACAGAGAAAGACAUGUUGAAUAUCAUUUGAAAACCAAUUAUUGUUGUUGCA
rnacentral:lncRNA from 1 species